rnacentral:rRNA from 1 species
UGAUCCUGGCUCAGAACGAACGCUUGCUGCAUGCUUUAUACAUGCAAGUCGAACGAAGGCCCUAGCUUGCUAGGUGUCCUUAGUGGCGCACGGGUGAGUAACACGUGGGAACAUACCUCAUAGUACGGAAUAACUGCGGGAAACUGUAGCUAAUACCGUAUAUUCCAGAAAUGGGAAAGAUUUAUCGCUAUGAGAUUGGCCCGCGCAAGAUUAGCUUGUUGGUAAGGUAAUGGCUUACCAAGGCUCCGAUCUUUAGCUGGUUUGAGAGGAUGAUCAGCCACACUGGGACUGAGACACGGCCCAGACUCCUACGGGAGGCAGCAGUAGGGAAUAUUGGACAAUGGGGGAAACCCUGAUCCAGCAAUGCAGCGUGAGUGACGAAGGCCUUAGGGUUGUAAAACUCUUUCAUCGGUGAGGAUAAUGACAGUAGCCGAAGAAGAAGGACCGGCUAAUUCCGUGCCAGCAGCCGCGGUAAUACGGAAGGUCCUAGCGUUGUUCGGAAUUACUGGGCGUAAAGCGCAUGUAGGCGGAACAAAAAGUUAGAAGUGAAAUCCCUGGGCUCAACCUAGGAAUGGCUUUUAAAACUUUUGUUCUGGAAUUCAGGAGAGGAAAAUGGAAUUUCCAGUGUAGAGGUGAAAUUCGUAGAUAUUGGAAGGAACACCAGUGGCGAAGGCGACUUCCUGGACUAACACUGACGCUGAGGUGCGAAAGCGUGGGUAGCAAACAGGAUUAGAUACCCUGGUAGU